GUUUGGAUUACAUUUCGAAACGAUUUUUUUUUUUUUUACUAUCUUUUAUUUUGUUAUUGUUUUUGCUAGAUCUAAAUUUGUUUUAAUUUUUGUUUUUGUGGUGGUUGCUUGGAUCCGGAUGAAUUAAUGAAUAAACCGAACAAAACUAGUCUCGAUUCAGACUAUUCACAGAAGAAGAAAGGAAAAAUAAAAUCCUAUGGCCUUGAAGGUUUUAAAAAUAAGGGAAUUCGGUUAAAACAAAUGCACUGACAAUUUUACAUAUUUAUUUAUUUUUGAUUUUUAAUGACUUUUUAUAGAAAGUAUAUCGGCCAAAAUCAAGACAAGAAAUUUAAACUUCAUAUUUUUUUUAUCUAUUUUUCUAAAGCAAAAUCAUUUUUAAAACUUAAUCUUUUUUUUGUACAAAUUAUUAACAAUCUGAUUAAAUACUAUAUUAUACUCAAUUUAUGAAAGAGUUAAAACAAAGCUUAUAUCACAUUUAAUUAUUUUUAUACAUGUCAAUUUUUGUUUCCAAUGUUUAUUAGCCUCAUAAACCUUGAAAUUGAACUGUUCGGAAUAAUUUUUAACUCCAAAAUUAUUCCUUUCGGUCUUUCAUAAAUUAAAGUACAUAUAUAAAAAAAAUUAAUAAAAUAAUAGAUCUUAUAAAUGCUUAAUUAAAAGUAAAAGUUGUAUGUUUAUACCUUAGCUAUUUUUCUUGUAAUUGUUGAUUCCACCUUCUUUAAAAAUAAAGAAACUUAUUUUUAUUUUAUAUACUAAGAAGAAAAUUUGUUUUCUAAUUUUUUUGUGACAGCGUUAUUUUUUCCUGUUUUGUUCCUCCCCCUCCUCAAAGGCAUUGGGACCUCUCUUUUAUAGGCUAGAGCAAUGGCAUUUAUGUAAAUAAAGAAAACACGAUUUAUUAUGUGCAAUUGUGAUUAAUUCUGUCUAAUUGUGUUUGAUUAGACAUAAAUUGGAUUAAACAUGUAUUACAAUCACCUAAAUGUACUUUUGCUACAGUAAUUUCACUAUUCCAAAAUACUGUAGCAAAUAGUGUCACAAAAGACAAAGUUGGUUAAAUAUAUUUUGGCUCUCAGAAUUUGGGAGAUGUACAAUUCGCCUCCUGAAAUUUAAAAAAAAAACAAUUAUGACUAUGUUGUUCCAAUUCAGUUCGAGUGUACAAAUUGCAGUAUUGCCCCUUUGAAAAAGUUUAGUUUGAUCCUUGAAGUAUUAAAAAUAGCCAAAUUGGCCUUUGUAUCUUAGUUUUGUAGUAUUUUUUUGUAUAUUUUUUUUUUAUGUACAAUAUAGAUGUUGGUUAAUAAAAUAAUUUGUUCACUUUUAUUUA